rnacentral:rRNA from 1 species
GACGAACGCUGGCGGCGUGCUUAACACAUGCAAGUCGAACGAGAGUAUUGAAGAAGCUUGCUUUAGAGAUACUUUAGUGGCGGACGGGUGAGUAACGCGUGAGGAGCUGUCCAAUGCAGGGGGACAACAGUUGGAAACGACUGCUAAUACCCCAUAAGCCGAGAGGUAAAAGGAUUUAUCCGGCAUGGGAGGUACUCGCGUCCUAUCAGCUAGUAGGUGAGGUAACGGCUCACCUAGGCGAAGACGGGUAGCCGGCCUGAGAGGGCGAACGGCCACACUGGAACUGAGAUACGGUCCAGACUCCUACGGGAGGCAGCAGUGGGGAAUAUUGGGCAAUGGGGGGAACCCUGACCCAGCGACGCCGCGUGGGUGAAGAAAUCCUUCGGGAUGUAAAGCCCUGUUGUAUGGGAAGAGCGGAAGACGGUACCAUACGAGGAAGCCCCGGCAAACUACGUGCCAGCCGCCGCAGUAA